rnacentral:rRNA from 1 species
GAUGAACGCUGGCGGCGUGCCUAAUACAUGCAAGUCGAGCGAACAGACGAGGAGCUUACUCCUCUGACGUUAGCGGCGGACGGGUGAGUAACACGUGGAUAACCUACCUAUAAGACUGGGAUAACUUCGGGAAACCGGAGCUAAUACCGGAUAACAUGUUGAACCGCAUGGUUCAACAGUGAAAGACGGUCUUGCUGUCACUUAUAGAUGGCUCCGCGUCGCAUUAGCUAGUUGGUAAGGUAACGGCUUACCAAGGCAACGAUGCGUAGCCGACCUGAGAGGGGGUACGGCCACACAGAAACUGAGACACGGUCCAGACUCCGACGGGAGGCAGCAGUAGGGAAUCUUCCGCAAUGUGCGAAAGCCUGACGGAGCAACGCCGCGUGAGUGAAGAAGGUCUUCGGAUCGUAAAACUCUGUUAUGAGGGAAGAACAAAUUUGUAAGUAACUAUGCACGUCUUGACGGUACCUAAUCAGAAAGCCACGGCUAACUACGUG